rnacentral:snRNA from 1 species
GGAUGUGAGGGCGAUCUGGCUGCAACAUCUGUCACCCCAUUGAUCGCCAGGGUUGAUUUGGCUGAUAUGGCUGGCUAGGCAAGUGUCCCCUUCCUCCCUCACUGCUCCAUGUGCGUCCCUCCCGAAGCUGCACGCUCAGUCGAAGAGGAUGAGAUUCCCCGCUAGAGGAGGACAGGUCUUUGAUCAAGGGUAUACGAGUAGCUGCGCUCGCCUGCUAGAACCUCCAAACAAACUCUCAACUAAAGUAAAAAUGAUCUGUUCCGGAAACCAAUCACUCUCAAAGACCAUCUUCUAAUGAGACGCUAAAUUU